CCACAGGCUACUUGGUGACUAUAGCAGUCAUCUCACUUUCCACCCAUGCUUGAGAUACAGCUAAAGGGUGAGCUAACUAAAGGCCAGUGGGCUUGGGGCUGGAUGAGGACAGUUAAUUUUUGGGAUGUGUUCCAUUUACUGUUUUGUUUCUGCAGCUAAUACUCAGCAUUAGAAGAUUUAUUAAAUGUAGGAGCAGAGCCAUCAUCUGACACCUAGAGUCAUCAGGCACCCAAAGGUUACAUGCUGACUGCUGUUAAGAUGCUAGAUUUGAAGGUCUGGAAUUGUAUUCUUUUAAUCUCAAAGGAGCAGAGUGAAGAAUUGAGGAGAGGAAGAAGAAAGAAAGUCGGUUGUGGAGGAACAUGAGGGAAACUGAAAUCCAGCAUGGAAAUCGACCUUUACAUCUGACACAACACAGAUACUGUCUUUCCAUGUGUCAGGAGCGAAUGAUGUCCGUCCUGAUGGCUAGAGGAGAAGGUCAAUGGGUCUUUUGGCAGCAGAUUCUUGGUCUUCGGAGGCUGAAUUCCUUCAUUCUGACUGUAUGGCAGAGUCUUGAGAAUCUGCAGAGCUGAGGAGACUUUCUUCUCAUCUAAUGAACAACACUUGGCUCAUUCUCGCAUUAAGAGGAAAUGACUUUUCCUAGCCACUCUUCAUCUCAAGUGCAGAAUGGGAGGAGCUGGAAGCAGAAGAUGCCACGCUGGUCGAUACAUGUACCAUGAGGAGCACAGGAGAGCUACGCUAAAGACAGACGGGAGAAAACAGUUCGCCUGGAGCCAGUUCGCAUUUCAC